GCUAUACAUGCAGUCGAGCGACAGAAGGGAGCUUGCUCCCGGAUGUUAGCGGCGGACGGGUGAGUAACACGUGGGUAACCUGCCUGUAAGACUGGGAUAACUCCGGGAAACCGGAGCUAAUACCGGAUAGUUCCUUGAACCGCAUGGUUCAAGGAUGAAAGACGGUUUCGGCUGUCACUUACAGAUGGACCCGCGGCGCAUUAGCUAGUUGGUGGGGUAAUGGCUCACCAAGGCGACGAUGCGUAGCCGACCUGAGAGGGUGAUCGGCCACACUGGGACUGAGACACGGCCCAGACUCCUACGGGAGGCAGCAGUAGGGAAUCUUCCGCAAUGGACGAAAGUCUGACGGAGCAACGCCGCGUGAGUGAUGAAGGUUUUCGGAUCGUAAAGCUCUGUUGUUAGGGAAGAACAAGUGCGAGAGUAACUGCUCGCACCUUGACGGUACCUAACCAGAAAGCCACGGCUAACUACGUGCCAGCAGCCGCGGUAAUACGUAGGUGGCAAGCGUUGUCCGGAAUUAUUGGGCGUAAAGGGCUCGCAGGCGGUUCUUAAGUCUGAUGUGAAGCCCCCGGCUCAACGGGGAGG
rnacentral:rRNA from 1 species